AUACUUACCUUGCAGGGGAGAUACCAUGAUCAUGAAGGUGGUUUUCCCAGGGUGAGACUCACCCAUUACACUCCAGAUGUGCAGACCCCUGCGAUUUACCCCAAAUGUAGGAAACUUGACUGCAUAAUUUGUGGUAGUGUGGGACUAUGUUCGCGCUCUCCCCUA